rnacentral:rRNA from 1 species
CGCGGUGAAUACGUUCCCGGGCCUUGUACACACCGCCCGUCAAGCCAUGGAAGUCAGGGAGACCUGAAGACGGUAACCGUACAGGAGCCGUUUAGGGUAAAACUGGUAACUGGGGCU